AUUAACAGCUCUCAGAUCAUUUAUGACACAACAACUGGGACACUUUAUAAACCCUCAAAAGAUUCAGAUCACAAAGCACUGGAUUACAGUGUUUAUCACAGAAUGGAAAAUAUGAUUUGCUGGAGUUUAUUCUUCAUAGUUACUUUUCAUGGAGUUUGGAGUGAGAUCAAACUGGACCAGUCUUCCUCUGAGGUGAAAAGACCUGGAGAGACAGUGAAGAUGUCAUGUAUCAUUUCUGGUUUUGACAUGACAGACUACUAUAUUCACUGGAUACGACAGAGGCCAGGGAAUGCUCUGGAGUGGAUUGGGAGGAUGGAUACAGGCACAAACUCUGCUAGCUAUGGCAGCUCCUUUCAAAGUCGUUUCAUCAUGACUGAAGAUGUGUCCAGCAGCACUCAGUACCUCGAGGUCAAGAGCCUGACAGCAGAAGAUUCUGCUGUUUACUUCUGUGCUCGACAAAGCACAGUGACUGAAGACAGUGGAACAGCUGCACAAAAACCUCCACAGACAACAAACAGCAAUGUGAUCUUAAUGACAUCAGCGUUUUCUCACCACCUGCAAAAACACUUUGAUAUAUCCACAUUAGAUUUCUCUAUAGUUGACUGUAAACUCAUCAGUUCCUCUGAAUAUCACCCCCUCAAAAAAAAAAAAAAAAAACCCACAAGUAAAGCACAUCAGAACAACGUUUGAUCACAGAAAUUGGCU